rnacentral:lncRNA from 1 species
UCUACGACAAAUCCUCCUUCUGAGCCUCCACUCAGUGUGCACAUGAGUGGCUCCUGUCAGCGGGAGCUCCAUGGGAAGCUUCUAAAUACGGAAAAAGUGGAAAUGGCAUGUUGCCAUGCAAAUGUGGCCCCACUAGACGUUUGUCCCAAAAUGGAGCAUCCUAGAGUACCCAUUCUUCAUCUCUGCCUUGGGAAGAUGUUCGCCCAAGCGCUUGCUUGAUUUGCAGAUAGAAACGUUGUCCCCACUCUUGUGUGCAGUUCAAAGACUUCACACUUGACAAGCAGUCACCACAGUUACUUGAGCCUCACGGAAGAAUCUUGCCUUUGGGGUGGCAGUGGCCACAUCUCGGAUGUCUCUUCCCCAAAGGCCAGGGCUGGGGUGAACCCAGCACAUGCCCCCCGUGGCCACCCCAUGCCCCAGGGCUCAGGGAGGGAGGGCUCCGGGAAGAUUUUGACAGUGGAAGUUAGGGCAGGUGAGGGGAGAAAGGACCCGGAAGUCGGGGACACCUUUCUCAGGCUCUGCCCUGCACAGGGAGCUGGGAAGGACCAGCCUCCUGGCAUCUGUGUGUGAUGGUGCCCGGCACAUCUGUUUCCUGCCCCAGUGCACCUCACCGGCCUGGGCACAGAACUGCUAAACGUGACUCAGGAAAAGGAACUUUCCCACAUCGCUUCACUUCAUUGAUUUUCAACAGCAGGAAAAAUUUUGCUCACUGGUCUGGCAAAUAAAUAAGUGGUUAUAUCUGAGCGUGUCUGUGUGUGUGUGAAGAGGAGCCAGGAUAAAGGAACAGAUGGAGGCAUGAGGUAAGUGCUUCUUAGCACUCGAAGAAUCAGGAAGAUUUUCAGAAACAGGAAUUAGCAAUCUGGAAGGAAAGCUCAGAAUAACACGGUUGUUUCCUGCGCAGUGGAAGGCCUUGGGCUGCGCCUCCCUCCACCUGUGAUCUGCGUUAACGGGCCCCUUGCUGCAGGUGUUGGCAGUGGUAGUUUUCUAGACGGAACCUCACACCCCCGAAUGGCUGUCAGUGUGUGUGUGGAGACUCAGGAGUCACCUGUGCAGGGCUUGUGAGUUUCCUAGAGAAAGAGACGGACCAUGUUCUCAAAACUGUGCCUCGAGUCCACUCCUUCUUCAUGGGUGUGCAGGCGCAAAGCCACAACCUCCACCCUGCUCUCCCUCCUGUGUCUCUUCCCCCGGUGUCUGUGCAAAUACGGGUGUCUUCGUGUCUAAGUGAGAGAGUCUUUGUGGGUCGACAGCACAUCUGAGCUGAGCCCUACUGGCUGGAAUCACCAGCUUAGUAAAACACUCUUCUCUCCCG